GUCCCACCUGACCCCAUGCCGAACUCAGCAGUGAA
rnacentral:rRNA from 1 species